rnacentral:misc_RNA from 1 species
AUGGGUAUCAAGACUCUAGCAGUGCUCUGCUCAUCAAAUUUUUUUCACUAAGGGCCUGUUUUAUAGAAAGGAAAGGUGAGGAAAGAAAAGUAACCAGAAUUAUAGGGAAAGUAAAAUCCUUAUGGAAAGGAAAAUUAUUAUUUUCCUUAUAAAUGUUUUCCAUAGGGAAAGGAGAGGAAAGAAGCAUUUUUUAUUUUUCAUGUUUUGAUUGAAAGAAAAGUGAGGAGAGAAAAUUAUUAUAUUUUUACUA